rnacentral:rRNA from 1 species
AUGUCGAGUUCAGUCUGCUCCCUGUCGCUCCUUGGCCUUGCUGCCGCUCUUCUUCUCUGCUGCUCCCGGCCUGCGACCGCUAAGGAGCAACGCCACGAGUUCGUGAUCCAGGAGGCGGCGGUGACGAGGCUGUGCAACUCGCGGAGCAUCGUGACGGCAAACGGGCAGUUCCCCGGGCCGGCGGUGGAGUUGAACGAGGGCGACUCCCUCGUCGUCAGCGUCGUCAACAACGCCACCUACAACGUCACCAUCCACUGGCACGGCGUGCGGCAGAUGCGGACGGGGUGGUCGGACGGGCCGGAGUUCGUGACGCAGUGCCCGAUCCGGCCGGGGGGCAGCUACACGUACCGCUUCACGGUGGCCGGGCAGGAGGGCACGCUGUGGUGGCACGCGCACAGCUCCUGGCUCAGGGCCACCGUCUACGGCGCGCUCAUCAUCCGCCCGCGCGACCCCGUCCCCUACCCCUUCGACUUCCACGGCGAGCUCGCCCCCAUCAUGCUCGGUGAGUGGUGGGACAUGAACCCCAUCGACGUCAUCCGCACCGCCACGCGCACCGGUGCAGCUCCCAACGUCUCCGACGCCAUCACCGUCAACGGCCAACCCGGCGACCUCUACAGCUGCUCCUCCCAAGACACGACCGUGUUCCCGGUCAAGUCCGGCGAGACCAACCUGUUGCGCUUCAUCAACGCCGCGCUCAACACCGAGCUCUUCGUCUCCCUCGCCGGCCACACCAUGACCGUCGUGGGCGCCGACGCCUCCUACCUCAAGCCGUACAACACCACUGUCAUCGUGCUCGGGCCCGGCCAGACCACGGACGUCCUCGUCACCUUCGACCAGCCGCCGGGCCGGUACUACCUCGCCGCCCGCGCCUACGCCAGCGCGCAGGGUGUGCCCUUCGACAACACCACCACCACCGCCAUCUUCGACUACGGCGCCGGUGGCACGGCGAGCCCGGCGAUGCCGACCCUCCCAGCGUACAAUGACACGGCCACGGUCACCACGUUCACAACGAGCCUGCGCAACCUCCACUCGGUGGGCCUCCCCUCGGCGGUCGACGAGGACCUUUUCUUCACCGUCGGCGUCGGCCUCUUCAACUGCUCCAGCGGACAGAACUGCGGCGGCCCCAACAACACGCGGUUCGCGGCGAGCAUCAACAACGCCUCCUUCGUUCUCCCCUCCACCGUCUCCAUCCUCCAGGCACACUACCAGGGCGAUGCCGCCGCCACCGGCGUCUUCACCACCGACUUCCCCGCCAACCCGCCGGUGCAGUUCGACUACACGGCGCAGAAUGUGAGCCGCGCGCUCUGGCAGCCCGUGCCAGGCACCAAGGUGUACAAGCUCAAGUACGGCUCCGUGGUGCAGAUCGUGCUCCAGGGCACCAACAUCUUCGCCGGGGAGAACCACCCUAUCCACACCCAUGGCUACGACUUCUUCAUCCUCGCUGAGGGCUUCGGCAACUUCGAUGCCGCUACCGACACCGCAAAGUUCAACCUCGACGACCCACCAAUGAGGAACACGGUGGGCGUCCCGCUGAAUGGGUGGGCUGUCAUCCGGUUCGUCGCCGACAACCCCGGGGUGUGGCUGAUGCACUGCCAUCUGGAUGUGCACAUCACCUGGGGCCUCGCCAUGGCCUUCCUGGUCGAGGAUGGAGUAGGAGAGCUGCAGUCCCUGGGGGCACCCCCACCAGACCUGCCAAUUUGCUGA